CCUACGGGAGGCAGCAGUGGGGGAUAUUGCACAAUGGGGGGAACCCUGAUGCAGCGACGCCGCGUGGGUGAAGGAGUGCUUCGGCAUGUAAAGCCCUAUCGGCAGGGAAGAAGCAAGACGGUACCUGACUAAGAAGCCCCGGCUAACUACGUGCCAGCAGCCGCGGUAAUACGUAGGGGGCGAGCGUUAUCCGGAUUCACUGGGUGGAAAGGGAGCGUAGACGGCCAUGCAAGCCAGGGGUGAAAGCCCGGGGCCCAACCCCGGGACUGCCCUUGGAACUGCAUGGCUGGAGUGCGGGAGGGGCAGGCGGAAUUCCGGGUGUAGCGGUGAAAUGCGUAGAUAUCAGGAGGAACACCGGCGGCGAAGGCGGCCUGCUGGACCGCGACUGACGUUGAGGCUCGAAAGCGUGGGGAGCGAACAGGAUUAGAUACCCCUGUAGUC
rnacentral:rRNA from 1 species